UAUAUAUAUAUAUAUAUCUGUUAAUAGGAAACAAUGAAAAGAACAUGUGUGGGUAUAUGGAAAUGUAGAGCGUGUCAAAAGACUGUAGCUGGUGGAGCAUAUGUUUACAGCACAACUGCAGCUGCAACUGUAAGGAGUGCAGUUAGACGUUUAAGAGAAAUGAAAGAACAAUAACUUGUAUUAGAAUUUCUGUGGAAAUACAUAAUUUAACAGAAAA